GACGAACGCUGGCGGCGUGCCUAAUACAUGCAAGUUGAGCGCUGAAGGUUGGUACUUGUACCAACUGGAUGAGCAGCGAACGGGUGAGUAACGCGUGGGGAAUCUGCCUUUGAGCGGGGGACAACAUUUGGAAACGAAUGCUAAUACCGCAUAAAAACUUUAAACACAAGUUUUAAGUUUGAAAGAUGCAAUUGCAUCACUCAAAGAUGAUCCCGCGUUGUAUUAGCUAGUUGGUGAGGUAAAGGCUCACCAAGGCGAUGAUACAUAGCCGACCUGAGAGGGUGAUCGGCCACAUUGGGACUGAGACACGGCCCAAACUCCUACGGGAGGCAGCAGUAGGGAAUCUUCGGCAAUGGACGAAAGUCUGACCGAGCAGCGCCGCGUGAGUGAAGAAGGUUUUCGGAUCGUAAAACUCUGUUGGUAGAGAAGAACGUUGGUGAGAGUGGAAAGCCCAUCAAGUGACGGUAACUACCCAGAAAGGGACGGCUAACUACGUG
rnacentral:rRNA from 1 species